GACGAACGCUGGCGGCGUGCUUAACACAUGCAAGUCGAACGGAAAGGCCCUGCUUGCAGGGUGCUCGAGUGGCGAACGGGUGAGUAACACGUGGGUGAUCUGCCCCUUACUUUGGGAUAAGCCUGGGAAACUGGGUCUAAUACUGGAUAGGACCAUGCUGUAGGUGGUGUGGUGGAAAGAUUAGUUUCGGUAAGGGAUGAGCUCGCGGCCUAUCAGCUUGUUGGUGGGGUAAUGGCCUACCAAGGCGUCGACGGGUAGCCGGCCUGAGAGGGUGGACGGCCACAUUGGGACUGGGAUACGGCCCAGACUCCUACGGGGGGCAGCAGUGGGGAAUAUUGCACAAUGGGGGCAAGCCUGAUGCAGCGACGCCGCGUGGGGGAUGACGGCCUUCGGGUUGUAAACUCCUUUCAGCCAUGACGAAGCCCUUGUGGUGACGGUAGUGGUAGAAGAAGCACCGGCUAACUACGUG
rnacentral:rRNA from 1 species